GAGACGGCCCGAGCGGGUCGCCGGCUGUGGGACGGCGGCGUGCCCUUCCUUUCCUCCCUCCCAGGUUCGCGCCCGAGCUCUGCUAGCCACCCGUCCGACAACUUCCGGACUCCCAGCUCCUGUACUUUGCCUCUCCCACCCCACUGGUUUUCCUGCCUCCCUCUUCAGAGGUAAGACACAUGGCUGGACCAAGGCCUCCAGGGUAAGUGACCCGAACUUCAAGCCAGCAGAGGCCAUGUCAUCCUAAGCUAGGGAUAGGGGAGGCUCGCCGGGAUGAACCUUUGGCUUAACCUAACCUCUGCUCCCUACUUCAGCCUCACCCCAGUCUCAGAUGACGGGAGGCCAAUGCCAAAGACGGAUAGGAUCUAUAGAGGCAGCCUCUUCUAGGACUGGGACACAACAGUGCAUGAGGCAACUGACAGGGGUGAUGUAAAGCUGUUGUGUCUCCAUCCUGGUUGCCCCAGUUCUAGGAGGUGACGUGACACUACGGUGGUCGCUGCCCAGAUUGAGAAGUGGAAGGGGGUGUUGCUGGCCGCUAGAAACGCUCAUAAUUCCACUGAGUUUGAGGCUCUGGUAGGGGCGCAUGUGGGCAUGGGAAGGAGCCCUGCACUCUGAGCACAGCCUCUCAGAUGUAACGCAGUGGCUCUGGGAGCUCAAAGUCUCAGCCCAGUGGGAGCUCUGACAAAAGGAGGAGAAACCCCCCCAGUAGACAUGUGGCUCUGUCUGAUCCACUCCUGCUGCCCCUUCUGGCAACUUCCCUGGGGAGGGAGGACCUGCUUCCCAGCAGGACCUUCAUCGAGUCACUGUAGGGGCAGGUAGAGCGGGCCAGGGAGCCACAGCUGAAUGGCACUCAAGGGCCAUCACUAGGCAUUGCCUCUCCCUUCCUGAGUGUGGGGCAAGGGUCCCUGCUGAG
rnacentral:lncRNA from 1 species